rnacentral:rRNA from 1 species
GACGAACGCUGGCGGCGUGCCUAACACAUGCAAGUCGAACGGAGUUAAGAAGGAAGCUUGCGAAUUCUUAACUUAGUGGCGGACGGGUGAGUAACGCGUGGGUAAUCUACCUAUAAGUGGGGGACAACACUGGGAAACUGGUGCUAAUACCGCAUAAGCUGCGCAAGCAGUAAAGGUGGCCUCUGAAUAUGCUGCCGCUUAUAGAUGAGCCCGCGUCUGAUUAGCUAGUUGGUGGGGUAAAGGCCUACCAAGGCGACGAUCAGUAGCCGGCCUGAGAGGGUGAACGGCCACACUGGAACUGAGACACGGUCCAGACUCCUACGGGAGGCAGCAGUGGGGAAUAUUGCGCAAUGGGGGAAACCCUGACGCAGCGACGCCGCGUGAGCGAUGAAGGCCUUCGGGUCGUAAAGCUCUGUUCUAGGGGACGAAGGUCCAGGAGAGUAAUAUGCUCCUGGGGUGACGGUACCUUAAGAGAAAGCCCCGGCUAACUACGUGCCAGCCGCCGCAGUAAUAC